UGAGGAAUAUUGGUCAAUGGACGAGAGUCUGAACCAGCCAAGUAGCGUGAAGGAUGAAGGUCCUAUGGAUUGUAAACUUCUUUUAUACGGGAAUAAAGUGCAGUAUGCAUACUGUUUUGUAUGUACCGUAUGAAUAAGGAUCGGCUAACUCCGUGCCAGCAGCCGCGGUAAUACGGAGGAUCCGAGCGUUAUCCGGAUUUAUUGGGUUUAAAGGGAGCGUAGGCGGAUGCUUAAGUCAGUUGUGAAAGUUUGCGGCUCAACCGUAAAAUUGCAGUUGAUACUGGGCGUCUUGAGUACAGUAGAGGCAGGCGGAAUUCGUGGUGUAGCGGUGAAAUGCUUAGAUAUCACGAAGAACUCCGAUUGCGAAGGCAGCCUGCUGGACUGUCACUGACGCUGAUGCUCGAAAGUGUGGGUAUCAAACA
rnacentral:rRNA from 1 species